rnacentral:misc_RNA from 1 species
AUAAUCCAUGGACCACAUGAAAAGGCAUCUUUUUUUUUAAUAUUUUCUAAAUUAACUCUAAUGACUGAAUAAAUUCUUCAUAUACUUAGAUUGAGAAUUUUUUUAACAUCGAAUCAAAAGCACACAAUUGAAGAAUAGGGAAUCAACAACUAAAGCACAGAAAUUCAGAAGACAACUCAAAAAGUUCAAGAGCUGGAAAUUAGGAGCCUCUAGGAGCAGUAAUGGAAAGAGCAACUGCGAGAGAUGCAGUCCUUUCUGAGCAGCGACACUCUUUUCUUCCUCGUUUUUAACGUUUGUGAGGACUUACCAUCUAAAUUAUGCAUAUUGCAAUAAACACAAAAAACUAGUACAUCAAUAAAAAUGAGUUGAAUUAUGCAUAUUGCAAUAAGCACAAAAAACUAACUAGGACAUCAAGAAAAAUGAGAGAAUGAAUUACCCAGCCAUUAAUCGAGUUCUAUACAGAUGCAGGACAAUUCGAUCCACUUGAGCAAGUGUUGCACAAUAUUACAAGAAUGGGUGCUACUUGUUUAAAUAGAGCG